rnacentral:lncRNA from 12 species
AAACCAGCUGCCCUUUCCCUGGAACAAAGCCGUAAAGUUUACGGAUUCGGUUUUGAUCAGAGAUACCGAAAUGUCAGAGUCAAUAGUGCACAACUGUAUUGCAACAGCGUCGUUGGGCUUUUAUUUACGACUCGCUCCUUUCAGACAAGGUUUCCAGUGAAUACCACUUGCAUUUCUGUACAAAAUGAGGCUCCUGUUUGCCUUCAAAGCAGUUUCAAGACAAAUGAUGGACUGUGCCAGUCUUUAAGCUACUGUCAGAUAACUGUAAACACUGAGGGACAUAAGGGACGUGUUUCUAAUAUACUGUAUGCCAAUUUGACUUUCUUCAUCUCCCAAGGACAGACUACCACCUGCUGAAAAAAUCCUAUCUUAUGCACAUGUUUAUGGACACCUGGACUCGGGAGACAAGCCUGAUUGAUGGCUGAGAGCUCUGAGGAAAAAGCUGCCCUACCCACAGACACGCCUCUGGAUCCAUUUAUCACAAUCACUCACAGAAAGAUGGAGGCAUCGGCAAAAAAAAAAAAAGUGAGAUGGUGCUCUACGGACAAAGCUGCGACCGGUCGGCAGGCGUGCAUCACGGAGGGAGACUGGGAGAUAAUUGGACAGUUGGUGGGAGAGAACACUCCACCGGAGAGACAGUUUGGACAGGGAACACGGAUGGACAGAUGGAUGGAGAGGAAAAAUAGCAGAAGAAGAGUAUCAGAAGUGCAGGAAGACUGCCCCGUCACUCCUAGGAGUCUCUGUUAUUUCAGACACCAACACUGCAACGGAACAACAAAAGAUCUCUCCCAUUCUACUGAAUGAAGCUGUCUACACUAUAAGCACCGUGACAUCUUUAGAGGUAUUGUUACUGCAUGCAAAUUUUGUUGGUGAACAAUGCUUGUCAACACCAAAAAAGAUUAAAAAAAAACAAUACUUGAAUAAAAAUACUCAAGUAAAAACGGCACAAAUGAAAUAAUGAGAAAGAAACUAAUGUGUAACUUUCCAUUAAACAUACCAACAUAAUAUAAUUGCACUCAAUUUAUAUCAAAUGGUAAGUCUGUCAAAUUAUAAUUAAAAUUAUAAUUUGACAUGCAUACUAUAAAUGUUUCCUCACUUUUUAAAAGCACGCUCGUUCAGAGCCACCAUCAGCCAUAACACUAAGGACAUUGGAAGGACAUCUAAAAGCGUAAUUCUCAGUUUAUGGGGCUCAUUUCUUGAUCUUUCGCUUCCUCUCUCCCUUUGUAUUUUAUAUAUAGGUGCAUGUACUCCUGGCUCAGUGAAGACUGUUAGAUGUGAUCUAGCAGUUCAAGAGUGAAGCUCAGAUAAAAUCUUAUUAGCGCAGUCGUCCUCACUUUACCCUCAAUAGAAGUGACAUUACUGAGAGGAAGUGAAACACGGGUCGGUAUCCCGCAGCAGGAAUUGGCCAUUAAUCCCCAGCAGCCAAUGAGAAACGCCAAUAAAGCAGCUUAACUUUACAAGACUCAAGCUAACUUUUACAUUCGCUGACUAGGAGGAGCUAAUGAGAUCCAGAAACUUGUGCAACUGCAAAGGCCACUUAACUCGAUUUCAUCUUACGUCACUCUCAUCUCAGCUGUCCGUUCUGCUCGGCUUGGUUCAUUGAUUUGAAGUUUAAUGUUGUGGGUGGGCAGGACAAAUUACUAGAGAUUCUGCAAUGCGAGAAAUAAGUUGUCAUUUAUUUUGCUUUGAUUAAAUCGCCACUGUGACCGCUGUGUUCAUUUAAUUUGGGCUAAAGUAGUUAAUU